AUGAACGCUGGCGGCGUGGUUAAGACAUGCAAGUCGAACGGUUUUUAUUGAAGGGCAACCGGAUAUAAAAGCAGUGGCGAACGGGUGCGUAACACGUGAACAAUCUACCUCCAAGUGGGGGAAUAGCUCGCCGAAAGGCGAAUUAAUACCGCAUGUGGUGGUUUCUCGCAUGAGAAGCUUACUAAAACAGGGACCGCAAGGCCUGUUGCUAGGAGAGGAGUUCGCGGCCUAUCAGCUAGUUGGCGAGUA
rnacentral:rRNA from 1 species